rnacentral:rRNA from 1 species
AAAUUGAAGAGUUUGAUCAUGGCUCAGAUUGAACGCUGGCGGCAGGCCUAACACAUGCAAGUCGAGCGGUAGCACAGAGAGCUUGCUCUCGGGUGACGAGCGGCGGACGGGUGAGUAAUGUCUGGGAAACUGCCUGAUGGAGGGGGAUAACUACUGGAAACGGUAGCUAAUACCGCAUAAUGUCGCAAGACCAAAGUGGGGGACCUUCGGGCCUCAUGCCAUCAGAUGUGCCCAGAUGGGAUUAGCUAGUAGGUGGGGUAAUGGCUCACCUAGGCGACGAUCCCUAGCUGGUCUGAGAGGAUGACCAGCCACACUGGAACUGAGACACGGUCCAGACUCCUACGGGAGGCAGCAGUGGGGAAUAUUGCACAAUGGGCGCAAGCCUGAUGCAGCCAUGCCGCGUGUGUGAAGAAGGCCUUCGGGUUGUAAAGCACUUUCAGCGGGGAGGAAGGCGAUAAGGUUAAUAACCUUGUCGAUUGACGUUACCCGCAGAAGAAGCACCGGCUAACUCCGUGCCAGCAGCCGCGGUAAUACGGAGGGUGCAAGCGUU